AGAAGUAUCCUGCUUCCGGCGGCGCUGCCGACACCACCAGCCGCGGCGGCCACCACGGCCACCACCAUCACCACCACCACAACGGAGGAGGAGGCGGCGGCUUCUUGAGAGGAUGCUGCGCGGCGCUCUGCUGCUGCUGCAUCCUCGACGCCUGUUUCUGAUCACCGAGUCUGUGUGACGCCGACGCUGACGCUUGUCGUCGUAAUCAGUCCGUCAUAGGCUCAUAGCUGAUCUAUGGUCAGGUCGGGAGCAUUGACAUGUCGUCUUGCGUCUGAUCAGUUGUUGUUGAUCGUUCUUCUUUUUUGUGUGUGGCGAUGCCAUUGGCUAGUCGUUUGUUUCUUUGUUGAGUACAGUAUUAGUUGGUUUCGGUGUGUAUGUAUAUGUAGGAUGGUGAUGUACUGAUGUUAGUGAUGUUUCUCGAUCUCAUGUACUCCGUACAUUGUUAUGGUUUCUGUAUCAGUAGCUGAUCUCUUUUGAGCUUCUCUAUAUAUGAUAUAUGAUUAGAAGA